rnacentral:rRNA from 1 species
GACGAACGCUGGCGGCGUGCUUAACACAUGCCAGUCGAACGGAAAGGCCCUGCUUUUGUGGGGUGCUCGAGUGGCGAACGGGUGAGUAACACGUGAGUAACCUGCCCUUGACUUUGGGAUAACUUCAGGAAACUGGGGAUAAUACCGGAUAGGAGCUACUGCUGCACGGUGGGGGUUGGAAAGUUUCGGCGGUUGGGGAUGGACUCGCGGCUUAUCAGCUUGUUGGUGGGGUUGUGGCUUACCAAGGCUUUGACGGAUAGCCGGCCUGAGAGGGUGGCCGGCCACAUUGGGACUGAGAUACGGCCCAGACGCCUACGGGAGGCAGCAGUGGGGAAUAUUGCACAAUGGGCGGAAGCCUGAUGCAGCAACGCCGCGUGCGGGAUGACGGCCUUCGGGUUGUAAACCGCUUUCGCCUGUGACGAAGCGUGAGUGACGGUAAUGGGUAAAGAAGCACCGGCUAACUACGUG